rnacentral:rRNA from 1 species
AGGGUAUGCCCAGUACGGCGAGUGAGCGGCAAAAGCUCAAAUUUGAAAUCCUGCGGGAAUUGUAAUUUGAAGGUAUCGUGGUCUGAGUCGGCCGCGCCCAAGUCCAUUGGAACAUGGCGCCUGGGAGGGUGAGAGCCCCGUCCGGCGCACGCCGACUCUUUGCACCGCGGCUCCGACGAGUCGAGUUGUUUGGGAAUGCAGCUCUAAGUGGGUGGUAAAUUCCAUCUAAAGCUAAAUAUUGGCGAGAGACCGAUAGCGAACAAGUACAGUGAUGGAAAGAUGAAAAGCACUUUGAAAAGAGAGUGAAACAGCACGUGAAAUUGUUGAAAGGGAAGGGCUUGCAAGCAGACACGGUUUUACCGGGCCAGCGUCGAAAAGGGGGGAGGAACAAGAACUCGAGAAUGUGGYGYGYACCUUCGGGUGCGCGUGUUAUAGCUCGUGUUGACGCCUCCAUCCCUUUUCGAGGCCUGCGAUUCUAGGACGCUGGCGUAAUGGUUGCAAGCCGCCCGUCUUGAAAACACGGAC